rnacentral:rRNA from 1 species
ACAUGCUUACAACAUAGCAUUAAUGGACUGGAUCCCAUUAGAACUCUGCAGUUAAGUGUGCUCAGGCUAGAGGAGUACUGGGAUGGGUGAUCUCCUGGGAAGUCCUAGUGUUUUACAUGCC